AGCGAACGCUGGCGGCAGGCCUAACACAUGCAAGUCGAACGAACCUUUCGGGGUUAGUGGCGGACGGGUGAGUAACACGUGGGAACGUGCCUUUAGGUUCGGAAUAACUCAGGGAAACUUGUGCUAAUACCGAAUGUGCCCUUCGGGGGAAGAUUAAUCGCCUUUAGAGCGGCCCGCGUCUGAUUAGCUAGUUGGUUGAGGUAAUGGCUCACCAAGGCGACGAUCAGUAGCUGGUCUGAGAGGAUGAUCAGCCACAGUGGGACUGAGACACGGCCCAAACUCCUACGGGAGGCAGCAGUGGGGAAUCUUGCGCAAUGGGCGAAAGCCUGACGCAGCCAUGCCGCGUGAAUGAUGAAGGUCUUAGGAUUGUAAAAUUCUUUCACCGGGGACGAUAAUGACGGUACCCGGAGAAGAAGCCCCGGCUAACUUCGUG
rnacentral:rRNA from 1 species